AUACGGAGGGUGCAAGCGUUAAUCGGAUUUACUGGGCGUAAAGGGCUCGUAGGCGGCCACUUAAGUCGGUUGUGAAAUCCCUCGGCUCAACCGGGGAACUGCGACCGAAACUGGGUGGCUUGAAGCCGGGAGAGGGAUGCGGAAUUCCAGGUGUAGCGGUGAAAUGCGUAGAUAUCUGGAGGAACACCCGUGGCGAAGGCGGCAUCCUGGACCGGUCUUGACGCUGAGGAGCGAAAGCUAGGGUAGCAAACGGGAUUAGAAACCCCAGUAGUCC
rnacentral:rRNA from 1 species